rnacentral:rRNA from 1 species
UACGUAGGGGGCAAGCGUUGUCCGGAUUUAUUGGGCGUAAAGAGCGUGUAGGCGGCUAGGUAGGUCCGUUGUGAAAACUCGAGGCUCAACCUCGAGACGUCGAUGGAAACCAUCUAGCUAGAGUCCGGAAGAGGAGAGUGGAAUUCCUGGUGUAGCGGUGAAAUGCGCAGAUAUCAGGAAGAACACCCGUGGCGAAGGCGGCUCUCUGGUACGUGACUGACGCUGAGACGCGGAAAGCGUGGGGAGCGAACAGG